AGAAAGAAAGAUCAGAAUUCAAAAGUAAAAUCUUCUUGAAAUGGCUUUUGGUGUCAAUCAUCCAUUUCUCUUGGGAAUUUUAUUUGUUGCUACUUUUGUACUAACACCAGGGCCAGCUACAGGAUUUAUAGAUCCAGGCCUUAAUUGCAUCGGGCAAUGCCCUAUACCGUGCGAUCAAAAAUGCACUCAUGACUGCAACGACGGUUGCACUGGCAGGGGGUUUAAGAGUGGAUUUUGUAUUACACAAGCUUCUCUUAGUCUAUGUUGUUGUAAGUGAUUGAGUUAUGUUUUACCCAGCAGUGGUUAUUUUAUAAAACUUCAAUGAAAUGUGUGCUUGAACUAA